CUAGUUCUUUUUAGCUUUUGAUUCUCCAGAAUCAACUUUUGGGAAACUUCCCACAGAAUCAGCUUCUCUCAGAAUCAGCCAGAAUCAACCGUCGAGUUCUUUUCUGAGAUUUUGGUCUAUUAUUAUGGGAUGAGUUGUAUGCUGAAAUGUCUGUAAUGUCCCUGAACUAAAACUGAGUGUUGAAUUGCUAACACUUGGUUGUUUCGAACAAAUUAUCGUCGAAUAUGAGCAUGAAUACGAUUUAUGAAUAUUUUAGCUCGCUAAAUAUUACAAUAAAGAAGGUUUCCAAGUUUCCCUUGCUACAAAAGAAGUUGCUAAAUAUUAUUACAAAUAGACUGACUAAUCUCAUGGUACAAGACUGGUAGCAAUAGCAUCGCGUGUUUCAGCCAUGGUACCAUCAUCUUCUGGUGGUAGAGCAUUGGCGCGUGUAAAUGGCAAUGGGGGCUACACACACGCAUCAUUAGCACAUAGCAGUAGCAAAACAGAACCACUCACAAGUAGCAUUGAGCAAUUGUAGUAGAAAAAAGAAUUAAAAAAAAUCAUCUACCUACACAUUAUAGAGAAGAACUCUUGUUCCAUGUACAGAGAAGAAUCUAACAAAUAAACUCGGGUAGAAAAAAGAGUAAGAGUAGGGCGUUUUGGUGCCCAGGCUCAUCUGCACCAGGUUAGAAAAAAAUCAUAAAAAAUUCAAAACAAAUUCAAAAAAUUCCAAAUAAAAUUUGUGUGGUAGACAAUUUUAUGCGUGAGGCCCGCUCCAAAUUUCAAGUCAUUUGGACAUAUGAGCAGCUCUCAGCAAAAAAGACAAAUCGGGCCAAAACAGUACAUGAAUAGUAAACAUUUUUACAGACCCCCAAUUUAUCUUUUUUGCUGAGAGCUGCUCAUAUGUCCAAAUGACUUGAAAUUUGGAGCGGGCCUCACGCAUCAAAUUGUCUACCACACAGAUUUUAUUUGGAAUUUUUUGAAUUCUUCUAGUAUUUGUUUUGAUUUUUUUCGUCGGUGCGGGUGCAGAUGAGCUCAGGGGCAGAAAUGGAUUUUCGAUCUACCUACACAUUAUAGAGAAGAACUCUUGUUCCAUGUACAGAGAAGAAUCUAACAAAUAAACUAACAUCAUCUACAUUCAUCCAUCAAUCAAGCAAAUCAUCUACAUCCAUCUAGCAAUCCAUUGUCCCAUGUACAGAAAAGAGCUACAAAUCAUCUACAUCCAUCUAUCCAUCCACUCUUCCAUGUACAGAGAAAAUAGAAGAGAGAGAGAGAGAGAGAGAGAGAGAGAGAGAGAGAGAGAGAGAGAGGCUCACCGAGGCAGCGGACAGAGGACAGCAGCAGCCGGCUGGAUGGC
rnacentral:lncRNA from 1 species